UGAUCAGUAGUUGGCAGAUGGUAGAGUGAUGUAGCAAGGACUGAUAUUAUUGCCCACUUAAAAUCAACUGCUGUUACUCCAAAGCCCAACACUACUACAAGGCUAGACUCAAUGCACACUCAUCCACAAUCUCUCUCUCUCUCUCUCUCUCUCUCUCUCUCUCUCUCACGCACCCAAAGGCGCUCACUCUCACACACACUCCAUACAAACAUCGCUCUGGAUUAAUAAUUAGGACAGUUGUUGUUAGUUAUCCAUGGAGAGGUCUAUUGUCUUCAUUGCUGAUAUCAUGCUGUCACGAUAUGGAGACCGAACCUGAACCUGGAGGGGUUGUAAUGCCAUGUGAUCUCAUAACACAACCUGCGUGUGUACAUCACAUCAGUUUUGUAACCAUGAGAGCAACACUGUGUGUGUACUUGUGUGAUUUAUGAUGACAGCCCAGAUGGUGGAAUUAUGAAAUGUUCAAUGUUCAGUA